UGGCUGAGAGGUAAAGCACUUGGCUUCUGAACCGGGCGUCCCAGGUUCGAAUCCUGG
rnacentral:tRNA from 1 species